CCAACUUGCAUGAUCAAGGCAGUCAUCCACACGAACUUUCUCAAACGUGUGAGUUUGUAUUUCCGACUAAUUGACAAUUUGGAAAAGCAAGGCUAUAUCAGCACCCGAAUUCGUAGUAAAAACGUGAAGAUGCAACGACUCCCAUUAAUGCUAUUCGGCAUUUUGGUACACCUGGUAAUCAGCCAAGUGUCGGCGGCAGAACUAGAAGACGAUGAAAUAGAUC